CUUAUGAAAAUAAUUUUUAUACCAUAUAGAUUUUCUAGAAUUAUAAUUUUUAUAGAAUAAAAGCAAAGGGGGACAACUCUUCAAGAAAAGGGAACGGUCAUUAAUAAGGACAUGUUCCACUGUUACAUGUUGAUACUUAUAUAUGAAAAUAAUGUCCAAGUAUACUAAUUACCGUAUUAAGUCCAUACAUAUCUGUUAUGAUCCCAGAUUCAUUGAAUCUGGGGCUAUUAUGGAUCGAAUACCUUAAAUGAAUGACAACUCUUGCAGGAAAGUGCACAAGGCCUCCAAAUCCAAAAUAUGACUAUGGAAGUUUUAUUGCCCAGACAUGUGAUUGUCUAGAACCAAUUGGAUGAUGCGUUAUAUAGAAUAUUCAUAUUGAGAGCUGCCAUGUCUUCUAAGAGAAACUCCAUUCUUUGAUGACUGAUGGAAAAUCCUCAUCACUUCCUUUGCUAAAGAACUUGUUAUCUUAAUCACUAGCCAUUAAUCAGUGACCACCGUUAUCAAAGCUCCCAGACACGCAUAAUGAUACAACUUCCUGGAUCGUGUUGAGUUUGUUUUUCAACCUGUGAAACCCAUUUGUUUUUAGGGUUCCACUUGGAAUGUGAAUGAGGUAUAAAGAACAAACCCCUUCAAUGCCACUGUAUCUUCUGCUUGAAGAUUCGUCCAGUCUGGCGAACGAAAAUGGAAGAUGCAUUCUCCAUCGAAUUCUGCUAAGAUGUUGAAGUUGUCACACUCAAGACAUGAACUCUACCAAGAAGUUUAAGGACAACUUUUACUCAAUUGUGUGUCCGUACAGCCAGGGCACCAUGCCCUCGUAAACCACUUGUCUAGAACAUCAAGUUGCGGCGUUCUCUGCUUAACUACCGCAGCAAUUUGCCAUGUAGAAAGGUCCAAAUGACCUGUGUUUGAGAAAAGCUAAAACAGGCAGCAUCAUUCACGAUGGCACGAGCCAUCAAGUCUGUUGCUAUCUGUGUGCAAAGAGGCUGAAGAUGUGGAAAUGAAAAUGUCCUGUAUUUCAUGAGAAGAUUAAAGAUGUUAAACGAAACUAUAAGCUGUAAUUUUCAUUAUACUGUAUUGAUCACAGACGUCACUACAGUAACGUUUUAAUUAUCGUACUUAAUCAUGUCACAUAUCAUAACAUUGCAAAUGAUUUAUGUAAAUCCCAUUGGGGCAAGUGGCAAUUGACAUUUAAUCAAAACUUUUUCAGC